rnacentral:rRNA from 1 species
GACGGACGCUGGCGGCGUGCUUAGCACAUGCAAGUCGAACGGAAAGGCCUCUUUCGGGGGGUACUCGAGUGGCGAACGGGUGAGUAACACGUGAGUAACCUGCCCUUGACUUUGGGAUAACUUCAGGAAACUGGGGCUAAUACCGGAUAGGAGCUCCUGCUGCAUGGUGGGGGUUGGAAAGUUUCGGCGGUUGGGGAUGGACUCGCGGCUUAUCAGCUUGUUGGUGGGGUAGUGGCUUACCAAGGCUUUGACGGGUAGCCGGCCUGAGAGGGUGACCGGCCACAUUGGGACUGAGAUACGGCCCAGACUCCUACGGGAGGCAGCAGUGGGGAAUAUUGCACAAUGGGUGGAAGCCUGAUGCAGCAACGCCGUGUGCGGGAUGACGGCCUUCGGGUUGGAAACCGCUUUCGCUCAUGACGAAGCUUUGUGUGACGGUAGUGGGUAAAGAAGCACCGGCUAACUACGUG